rnacentral:tRNA from 1 species
GAGGGUAUAGCUCAGAGGUAUAGUGCGUGCGUAGCAGGCAUGAGGUCCUGGGUUCAAUCCCCAGUACUUCCA